GCUCCGGUAGUGUAGCUCGGCCAAUCAUCUCGGCCUUUCGAGCCAAGGACUCGGGUUCGAAUCCCGACCGGAGCA
rnacentral:tRNA from 2 species